GUUUCUGUAGUGUAGUGGUUAUCAUGUUCGCCUCACCAGCGAAAGGUCUCUUGUUCGAAACAGGGCAGAAACA